CUCCAGCACUUCUCUCGCGGCCAUGGGAGGAUGUAGGAUACCUCCAGCGUGAAUCGAGCUAGCGGGAGAUCCUCGCGGCUAAAGAGCGGAGCCCACGCUGCCAAGUAAGAUUGUAUUUUUCCCGUUUGCUUUUUUUACCAUGCUAAAAAGUACCGGCGCAACUUCGUAAUAAUUAUCAUCUUGUGCGCGACCAACCUGCCUUUUUCUGUCAACAGGUGAAUUCAUGACGCAACAUGCCUCUUUUGGCUCAGAGCCAGUGUGAAUCGGCCACUGCACAGAGUGCAGCCACUCAAAAUAUAAAUAUAUAAAAUAUUAAAUUUUUAGAUAGCUUCAGUUGGAAAUACAAAAUGGUGGCAAAAAUUUUUAACACAGAAAAUAGAUUUUUUGUUUGUUUCUAAGAUGUUGAUGUUUUUGUUGUCAGGGAGGACAGAAUGUUGUUUGUAUUAUUUACUUAUGUGGCAACCCCGCCUCGAGCUUCCCACCCACGACUACGGUAGGAAAAAAAAAGAAGACUGGGGAGGUGGGGAAAGAUCGAGAGAGAUUUCACGCGUGAGGGAUGCAAAUUUCAGUAUGUGCGUUAUUUUAGAGAAUAUUGGGUGAAGAAGUGUUUCUCCAUUUCAAUUCCAUCUUAUUCCUUAUUCUUUAGUUUUUCAUAAAAUUAGCUUAUGGAUCAUCAGCUGGCCGUUGCCUUUUUCUGAAAUCAAACAAGAAGAAAUCGGGAAAUGAGGUCAAACUGUUCGAGGAUUUAACAAUAUAAUCACCAUUUUCGUAGUAACCAAACUAAAUAAAAUUAAUUGAAGCAGAAUUUGGUCAAAAAUAUUAAUCAACUAUGUUGAUUAGUUUUAUCAGAUAAUCACAAAAAGUCAUUUAUUUAAUAAUCAAUUUCAAAAUUUAUGGCUAAACUUUGUUUAUUGACAAUAAAAAUUUAUUGAAAAUUUAACAAAAGUUUUCCAUUGUCAAAGUUGUACAAUAUUAAGUUCAUUUACAUUACACAUCUUAUCCUUUCCACUUCAAAAAAUGUGAUCUGAUUCUUGAUCUGGUUUUCCUACCUUUUUUUAUGCUGUGGGAGUAGGACCUAUCAAAAGCUAAUCAAAGAUAGAAUAAAUAUAAAAUUGAGAUUAAUAUUAGAGCGAACAGCUCUGACCAUUACAUACGACACAAGCACAAUCCAAAAUGAAAAAAGUUGUAGAAAUCAAUUGUAUUUAAAGAAUGGGACACAUGCGAGCAAUCAAACACAUAUUACUAUUUACUUCACAACAGCUGGCUGCAGGGGAGAAAAAUGUGGGAAACAAUGUGGGGUAACUCGAGGUUCAAUAAGUCUCUCAAAAUUCUCUAUGGUCCUAAACCAAUCUAGACCGUUAUCUGUUCACAGGCUGACGUCUCCUGUAAUCGUCAGAGUGUAAUUUUUCCGCGAGAAAACUGCUUUACAAAACAAAUUACGUAUCGCAUGUAUGUUCUCACUGACCUGAAUUAUGCUGGGAGCGUGUAGGCUCCUGGUCCUUGACAAAAUCCGGCAAAGCUAAUCGCUCAUUAUUCUAAGGCUCCAGAAACAAAUGUGUAUUUCGAGAACCUUACUGAAAUCUAAAAAUAUAACUGUGACGUUUGGCGGCAGGACGGCUUCUACCGCUACCCUACAUCACUGAGUAGUUCCCACCAUGAAGAGGUCACCUUUAAAGUUACGGAUGAAAAUGAGACAGGGCCCACUUUAGGCAUCUGGAGAGGCGGUGCAGUGUGUGCGGCCAAGUGAGCGGCCCUUAACAACUGGCGAAUGGCAUUUUCAUCGCCUACUUACUGGAGAAACAUCAAAUUAGGCGAUUCCAAGUGGUAUACUCUGACACGAGUACGAUCAUCCCAAGCAGUCGGUGCCUCGAAGAUUGCCAUGGUGUUAGCGUACACCACGUCGUAGUUACAUUGCAUGAGAUAUUAAGCGGUGUAGUCCGAUUGAGAGCUAGUGUGCAACGUUGGUCUAGAAUUUUCGUAUAAGUUGGCCACCCCGAGUCGUUAGAGUUGCCCGACAACGUCGAGAGGAAACCGUCCCAGCAACCAAGAUGACACGAUGUCUCGUGGGAGGACAGUCGAAAACUUCCUCCCACAUAGGUUCGACUGCCGAUGGAAACGACACAGCUUCCAUAUAGUCGAAAGUGACCGUCACCGUGGCGGCGUCGUCAGACUCGCUGUCAGACUCUUGGAACCGCAUAAUCAACUGGUCCAAGUAAACGUCUCCGUAAACCGAAUCUUUUGAUCCAAGAUGGAAAACUGGCUGCUCGUGGGCCAGCAGCCACUUGCAGUGUCUCGCUAGACAAAGUACUAUCGUUUUUAAUGUUGACCUCGUCCGGGAAACCGGGUCUUGCACCCAAGACAUGUCAUGCAAUUGUUGCACAACAAUCUCUUCCUGGUUUCACAAAUUCCUCAGUAGGCCUGCAGGGUGGCUAAAACAAUGAAUGAACAAAAAAAUAUUAAUAUUGCUUUGGCUAUUGAAUAUCCACUAAACUGGGAAAACUCAGAUGCGCUACCAUUGGUUCCACGUAUUCAAACUUUGACAACACACUCCAAAGAAAUCUUUUAUAAAAUAAAAAUUGUACAGUUAUUGCAGGCAAAAUACGAUUCAUAAAACGUUAAAAGAUGCGUGUGACUAACAUUACCAAUAAUGGAAAUAACUCCAUCGAAGUGGAAAUGGCGGUGUAGAGAACUAGUAUGCGAAUAUGGAUAUAGAAGUCCACCACAUCACAAUGGAUUACACUGUUUCACACCGUCUAAGGAAAAAUGAAAUUUA